rnacentral:snRNA from 1 species
GUAUUGUAUGAAAGGACAGAAAGUUAGCAUUCCCCUUGAUAU